CAAGGAGGUUGCCAGCCAUUCCCAGCUGACUGAUGCGGCCUCUCUCCUUCGGAUGUGACGGCAGAGCUCCUCCAGAAGGCCAAUCAAGAUGAAACUGGUGCAGAAGGAAGGGCAUCAAGCAACAACACUGUGAUCAAUGGAUAGAAGACUUAAGAAGAAGCUUCCUCUCAGGGAAUGCCCUGUACUAGUUCCAUGUUGUCUAUUUUUAAGCUUAUCUUGGGUUAAAUUUCGUAUCUGUGAUUGCUGGAUAUUGUGGUGGCAGCCUAAACCUGAAUGGUGUCUUGUGUGGCCUUCUUUUGCGAACUCGAGUUUAAUUAUUCACGUACUCCAUUUUCUUGGUGAAA